GCGAAGGGCUGGAGGCAAACACCGAGCUCCUCCAAAGCCGCCCGGGAGCAGGGAGGGCUCCGCUAGCCCGGGGGGGCCCUCCCCGCGGGGCAGAUGAGUUCCAUAUCCAGACUCUCAAACCAUGUUUUGGGAUCAUCCAAACAUUCCGUCCUCCUGACUCCAUAAACUAUUGGAUUCAUAACCUGCUCCAUACUUGAAAACAUGGGGACUGGAAUUCGGGAUCUUUGUUCUGGUAAGCAUGUGACUGACUACAGCUGUCAACAUCGGCACCUCCAAAGUUAUCUCGCAAAACAAAGGUGUUUUGCAGUAUCAUACUUCUUUUACAAUUUCCUGGGUCUCUAUUGAAGAAAACAAAGGUAAGGAAUUACCUACAAACCUGGUGCUAUUUUUCAAAUAGGAGAUAUGGCACCCCAUUUACAAUUUAUCGUCAGAUUGGUCUCAGGGGAAGAGGAGACGCAUUGAAGAAGGUGAUUAAAAUAUGUGUACAGUGG